UCCCUACGGGGAGAAAGGUGGCCUCUUUGCUAUCGCUAGAGGAGAAGCUUGCGGCCUAUCAGUUUGUUGGUGAGGUAAAGGCUUACCAAGGCUAUGACGGGUAACUGGCUUGAGAGAGUGGUCAGUCAGAUUGGAACUGAGAUACGGUCCAGACUCCUACGGGAGGCAGGCAGUGAGGAAUAUUGCGCAAUGGGCGAAAGCCUGACGCAGCGACGCCGCGUGGAGGAUGACGGCCUUCGGGUUGUAAACUCCUGUUAGGUGGGAAGAAAUCCCCAGCUCUAAUACAGUUGGGGGAUGACGGUACCAUCAGAGAAAGCACCGGCUAACUUCGUGCCAGCAGCCGCGGUAAUACGAGGGGUGCUAGCGUUAUUCGGAAUUACUGGGCGUAAAGGGUGCGUAGACGGCAUGUUAAGUCGACUGUUAAAUACUUCGGCCCAACCGAAGAGAUGCGGUCGAAACUUGGCGUGCUAGAGGGUGGAAGAGAGAAGUGGAACUCUCGGAGUAGCGGUAAAAUGCGUAGAUCUCGAGAGGAACACCGAUGGCGAAGGCAGCUUCUUGGUCCAUUCCUGACGUUGAAACACGAAAGCGUGGGGAGCAAACAGGAUUAGAUACCCUGGUAGUCCACGCCGUAAACGAUGAUCACUAGACGUCGGAUUUGUUUUACAGAUUCGGUGUCGUAGCUAACGCGUUAAGUGAUCCGCCUGGGGAGUACGGUCGCAAGACUAAAACUUAAAGGAAUUGACGGGGGUCCGCACAAGCGGUGGAACAUGUGGUUUAAUUCGACACUACGCGAGGAACCUUACCUAGGCUUGACAUGCAUUUGACAGCCGUAGAAAUACGGUCUUCUGAACUUGUUCAGACAGGUACACAGGUGCUGCAUGGCUGUCGUCAGCUCGUGUCGUGAGAUGUUAGGUUAAGUCCUCUAACGAGCGCAACUCCUACUACCAGUUGCAACUGCGUGAGCAAGGCACUCUGGUGGAACUGCCUGGGAAACCAGGAGGCACGGUGGGAAUGACGUCAAGUCAGCAUGGUCCUUAUGUCUAGGGCUACACACGUGUUACAAUGGCCAGUAUAACGAGCUGCAAGCCCGCGAGGGCGAGCGAAUCUCUAAAAGCUGGUCUCAGUUCGGAUUGGAGUCUGCAACUCGACUCCAUGAAGUUGAAAUCGCUAGUAAUCGCGCAUCAGCAACG
rnacentral:rRNA from 1 species